GAUGAACGCUGGCGGCGUGCCUAAUACAUGCAAGUCGAACGCUUCACAUAUGUGAAGAGUGGCGAACGGGUGAGUAAUACAUAAGUAACCUGGCCUUUACAGGGGGAUAACUGUUGGAAACGAUAGCUAAGACCGCAUAGGUGUGAUAACCGCAUGGAGAUGACAUGAAAUAUGCUACGGCAUAGGUAGAGGAUGGACUUAUGGCGCAUUAGCUAGUUGGAGGGGUAACGGCCCACCAAGGCGACGAUGCGUAGCCGACCUGAGAGGGUGACCGGCCACACUGGGACUGAGACACGGCCCAGACUCCUACGGGAGGCAGCAGUAGGGAAUUUUCGGCAAUGGGGGAAACCCUGACCGAGCAACGCCGCGUGAAGGAAGAAGUAAUUCGUUAUGUAAACUUCUGUCAUAGAGGAAGAACGGUGCGUGUAGGGAAUGACAUGCAAGUGACGGUACU
rnacentral:rRNA from 1 species